AACGAACGCUGGCGGCACGCUUAACACAUGCAAGUCGAGCGCCCCGCAAGGGGAGCGGCAGACGGGUGAGUAACGCGUGGGAAUCUACCCAUCCCUACGGAACAACUCCGGGAAACUGGAGCUAAUACCGUAUACGCCCUUCGGGGGAAAGAUUUAUCGGGGAUGGAUGAGCCCGCGUUGGAUUAGCUAGUUGGUGGGGUAAUGGCCUACCAAGGCGACGGUCCAUAGCUGGUCUGAGAGGAGGAUCAGCCACACUGGGACUGAGACACGGCCCAGACUCCUAGGGGAGGCAGCAGUGGGGAAUAUUGGACAAGGGGCGCAAGCCUGAUCCAGCCAUGCCGCGUGAGUGAUGAAGGCCCUAGGGUUGUAAAGCUCUGUCACCGGUGAAGAUAAUGACGGUAACCGGAGAAGAAGCCCCGGCUAACUUCGUGCCAGCCGCCGCCGUAACAC
rnacentral:rRNA from 1 species